AGAGCAGGAAAGGAAUGGAGGAAUCUGGCCAGAGCUGUGCCCCUGCUUGCCACAGGAGCUGCGCGGGAGGAGAAGAAUGUGGGCCAAAAGGUAAGAGGAGCUCCUUUGGGUUCUGGGCUUGAAGCAAAGCUGAGAAGCCAUGCCCGGGAGGAGGUGUGGGUAGCUACAGGCCACCUUGCUAUCUCCCCAAGAGAUGAGGUGUGUGGGCUAGGCACCGGGCAGGAGUGCUGGCCAGAAGCAAGCAUCUCUGUGGAGGAAGGCAAAGGGCGGAGGAGGUUAGGCACUGGGAAGGGUUUUUUAAAAAUAACAAAAAAUUGUGAAAUGAAGAAAGAAAUGAGCUAAAUAAUGCUAUAAGUAUGCAUAA
rnacentral:lncRNA from 7 species